CUCCUUUCGGGGAGCCAGCCGUAGGGGAAUUUUUCGGCCAUGGAGCGACAAGUCCUGACGCCCGCACCGCCCGGCGGGGUGUGAAGGAAGGCCCUUCGGGUCUGUAAAAGCUCUGUUAUUCGGGGAGGAGCAAACUCUAGUUGAAUAAUGCUGGCAUCCUGANCGUACCAGCCAUAGCCAGUCUGAA
rnacentral:rRNA from 1 species